GCGGGUGUGGCGGAAUGGCAGACGCACCAGACUUAGGAUCUGGCGGGUAACCGUGGGGGUUCAAGUCCCUUCACCCGCACCA
rnacentral:tRNA from 1 species